rnacentral:rRNA from 1 species
GCCAGACUCCUACGGGAGGCAGCAGUGAGGAAUAUUGGUCAAUGGUCGGGAGACUGAACCAGCCAAGCCGCGUGAGGGAUGAAGGUACAGAGUAUCGUAAACCUCUUUUGUCAGGGAACAAAGGCGGGGACGUGUCCCCGGAUGAGUGUACCUGAAGAAAAAGCAUCGGCUAACUCCGUGCCAGCAGCCGCGGUAAUACGGAGGAUGCGAGCGUUAUCCGGAUUUAUUGGGUUUAAAGGGUGCGUAGGCGGACUGUCAAGUCAGCGGUAAAAUACGGGGGCUCACCCUCCGCUCGCCGUUGAAACUGACGGUCUUGAGUGGGCGAGAAGUAUGCGGAAUGCGUGGUGUAGCGGUGAAAUGCAUAGAUAUCACGCAGAACUCCGAUUGCGAAGGCAGUAUACCGGCGCCCAACUGACGCUGAAGCACGAAAGCGUGGGUAUCGAACAGGAUUAGAUACCCGAGUAG